UACUUCUAAAUUAAGUGUACCGCUGAGC
rnacentral:piRNA from 1 species